rnacentral:rRNA from 1 species
GUGGGGAAUCUUGCGCAAUGGGCGAAAGCCUGACGCAGCCAUGCCGCGUGAAUGAUGAAGGUCUUAGGAUUGUAAAAUUCUUUCACCGGGGACGAUAAUGACGGUACCCGGAGAAGAAGCCCCGGCUAACUUCGUGCCAGCAGCCGCGGUAAUACGAAGGGGGCUAGCGUUGCUCGGAAUUACUGGGCGUAAAGGGCGCGUAGGCGGACAGUUUAGUCAGAGGUGAAAGCCCAGGGCUCAACCUUGGAAUUGCCUUUGAUACUGGGUGUCUUGGGUAAGGGGGGGGUGAGUGGAACUCCGAGUGUAGAGGUGAAAUUCGUAGAUAUUCGGAAGAACACCAGUGGCGAAGGCGACUCACUGGCCCGUUACUGACGCUGAGGCGCGAAAGCGUGGGGAGCAAACAGGAUUAGAUACCCGUGUAGUCC